GCGCCGGUGGUAUAAGGCGUGGUAUCUCCGUCCAGAAAGCAGAAGGUGCGGGUUCGAGCCCCACCUGGCGCA
rnacentral:tRNA from 1 species